rnacentral:misc_RNA from 1 species
UUAAUGGUUAACUGGUCGUCUAGUCCUAGAAGGAUAAGUAAUUUUGGGGUGUCAAGAUUGGCAGUUGGUUAGUGGGUCUUUCCACUAGCACUUCUCUCUCUUUUCUGUCUCCCUCCCUCCCCCUCUCUUUCUUUUUCUUCCUCUCACGCCUUGUGGAGGGAGAGUAAGUACUGUGUAUGCGUAUGAAAACACACGCGCGCGCGCACACUCACAUAUAUAUAUAGUCUAAACAUUCUGAUCCUGGAUUUGUCUGAUUAGGUUCUUUCUUGUUAAUUCUUUUUUAUUGUUUUUCAUUCUUGAAAUUGUUGGUGAAAGCUACGUGAAUGAGGGGAACAAAAUGUCUGUGAAGAGUAGAGUUGGAGGAGAGAUUGCUGCAAGGAAUGUGAUGCCAAGAAAAUG